UACGAAGGGGGCUAGCGUUGCUCGGAAUCACUGGGCGUAAAGCGCACGUAGGCGGCUUUCUAAGUCAGGGGUGAAAUCCUGGAGCUCAACUCCAGAACUGCCUUUGAUACUGGGAGCCUUGAGUUCGGGAGAGGUGAGUGGAACUGCGAGUGUAGAGGUGAAAUUCGUAGAUAUUCGCAAGAACACCAGUGGCGAAGGCGGCUCACUGGCCCGAUACUGACGCUGAGGUGCGAAAGCGUGGGGAGCAAACAGG
rnacentral:rRNA from 1 species